UCCGAUUCCGUAGGUGAACUGCGGAAGGAUCAUUACCAACACUAAAAAACUUUCCACGUGAACCGUUCAACCUUUUAGUUGGGGACUCCUCGUCGGCGGCUUUCGGGCUGCUGGUGGGUUGAGACCUAUCAAAACGAGUGAUUUGGGCUGCAAGGUCUGAGUUGCGAGUUUUCUUUUUAAACCCAUUACCUAAAUACUGAUUAUACUGUGGGGACGAAAGUCUCUGCUUUUAACUAGAUAGCAACUUUCAGCAGUGGAUGUCUAGGCUCGCACAUCGAUGAAGAACGCUGCGAACUGCGAUACGUAAUGCGAAUUGCAGGAUUCAGUGAGUCAUCGAAAUUUUGAACGCAUAUUGCACUUCCGGGUUAUGCCUGGGAGUAUGCCUGUAUCAGUGUCCGUACAUCAACCUUGGCUUCCUUCCUUCCGUGUAGUCGGUGGAUGGGAAUGCCAGACGUGAAGUGUCUUGCUGUAGCGGUCUUCGGACUGCGGCGGCGAGUCCUUUGAAAUGUAGAUACUGUUCUUCUCUUUGCUCGAAAAGCUGUGCAGAAUGUAUGUUGUGGAGGCUGCCAUCACGGCAUGUCGGCGACUGAUUUCGUGCUGAGGCGUUUUGGAGAGGGGUUCGAUUCGCGGUAGUGUUGGUUUCGGCCGAACAAUCUGCUUAUUGGGUUCUUUUCCAGGCUUUGGCGUUUGCGGAGUCGGUGUACCGUAGCUGUGCGUGGCUUGGCCUUUGAACGCUCGUUUUGUGUGGCGAAGUAGAGUGGCGAAGUGUUUGUUUUCGGACGAAUGCGGCUGCCGAGUGGACGAAAAUAUUUUGGGAAAAUUUAGUGUGCGCUUUGCCUUCGGGUAUUGUGUGCAUCUCAAUUGGACCUGAUAUCAGGCAAGACUACCCGCUGAACUUAAGCAUAUCAAUAAGCGGAGGA
rnacentral:rRNA from 1 species